rnacentral:rRNA from 1 species
GGGCUUCGGCCCGGGUUCAAAUAAUGGAGAGUUCGAUCCUGGCUCAGAACGAACGCUGGCGGC